UUUCAGUUGCAACAAAUAUUUAAUGACAUAUAAUAUAACAUACACAUUAACAGAAUAAAUAACUAUCAAUAGAUGUAUCAUCACAACAGAUGUUGACUUUAAACAAUUUUUUGGCCAGAUUUCAUAAAUAUAUCUAUAUCUAUAUAUUUCACAUCUUAGAUUUCAACAGUGGCAUAGGAGCAAGGGUAGACUUACAAAGUGAAAAAAGAUCCUUUGAAAAAUGUACACAAUAUAUCAGCCAUAUGUGCCAAGAUGUGUUAUUUAAUAAAUGUUUCAGCUGGAAUCAAUCAAUAUAAUAAUGAAAAUUUGUAAAGUGUUCCCUUCUUACUGUUUUCCAUUACUCCUAUAACAGGGUCAAAAGUAAUAUUGCAUACUACAAUAUAUAUUUUUCACAACUCUAAUCUAUAUCACAGGUUUUUCUUAAGCCCAUAUUUACAUAUUGCUUGGAAUGAUAUAUUUGAAGACCAUAAAAUUUAUAUUUACAUUGAACUAUACAGAAUAUAUAAUUCUAAACCCUAAAAUAACCCACUUUGAUGUAUUUAUUUGUGUCACUGUGUUGCUAUUUCAUUGAGUUGCAAAUUGGUUAAUAAUGCCAUUUCUGUAGUAAGUCAAAAACAUACUUAAAGACAUGUUGGUGAUAACUAUAACAUUUCAUACAUGUACUUAUCAGAGCAGUAUCAAUAAUUAGUUUUACCAAAAAACGUUUGAUAGAUUUUCAGAAAUGGUUUUUCAUAAACACUAAAUUAGAAUUCAUCAAUUUUCAGAAAUUUCUCCAAUGGAAAUGCCAACUUUUGAAUAAUGUUAACAAGUCUUUUUAUUGACAAAAUUCAAUCAGUUUCAUUGCUGGAAAGAUUAUUAAUUCAAUGUGGAACCAGAUGCUCCGCAGGGCAUAGCUUUAUACGACCGCAGAGGUUGAACCCUGAAUAGUUGGGGCAAGUAUGGACACAACAUUCAAGCUGGAUUCAGCUCUAAAUUUGGAUUGUGAUUAAAUAGUUGACACAGCAUAGGUUUCUGACACAGAAUGAAUGUGUUCUAAUGAACUUAAAAUUUUUGUUUUCUCUUAGAGCAAUUCACUAUGCUGUUGAAUAUUAAUCCUCUCAAAAAAAUGUUUGAAGAAUUUUC
rnacentral:lncRNA from 1 species